rnacentral:ncRNA from 1 species
AAUCUGGAGAGAGGCGUACACGCGUGCGCCCACCGAAGGGGAAGGCGCCAGCGCUGCUGACGCCCAAGCUCUCAGGUCCCGAGACAGAUGGGG